rnacentral:lncRNA from 1 species
GUUCUUUUAUUAUCAACACGGUGAUUAAUACAAAUAAGGUGUCAUGAUGGCCUUUUAUAUGGUAGUUCAUAAUAAACUAUCCAUAUAAACUAAUCAGGGAUUGCAGGAUCAAAUCUAUAAGCAAUUCCUUAUGCAUGGUUAUAUCGAGCCUUUUAAGCUUCUUAAUAUCUUUGAUUAUUAUCAAAUAACGAUCAUAGACUAACUGUUCAUCAUGCAUCACAUAUGCCAUGCGACUCUAAUCACCUCACAACACUUGC